UGGGGAAUAUUGGACUAUGGGCGAAAGCCUGAUCCAGCCAUGCCGCGUGAGUGAUGAAGGCCCUAGGGUUGUAAAGCUCUUUUGUGCGGGAAGAUAAUGACGGUACCGCAAGAAUAAGCCCCGGCUAACUUCGUGCCAGCAGCCGCGGUAAUACGAAGGGGGCUAGCGUUGCUCGGAAUUACUGGGCGUAAAGCGCACGUAGGCGGACUCUUAAGUCGGUGGUGAAAUCCUGGAGCUCAACUCCAGAACUGCCUUCGAUACUGGGAGUCUUGAGUUCGGGAGAGGUGAGUGGAACUGCGAGUGUAGAGGUGAAAUUCGUAGAUAUUCGCAAGAACACCAGUGGCGAAGGCGGCUCACUGGCCCGAUACUGACGCUGAGGUGCGAAAGCGUGGGGAGCAAAC
rnacentral:rRNA from 1 species